UUAGUGGCGGACGGGUGAGUAACGCGUGGGUAACCUGCCUUACACAGGGGGAUAACACUUAGAAAUAGGUGCUAAAACCGCAUAAGCGCACAGCUUCGCAUGAAGCGGUGUGAAAAACUCCGGUGGUGUAAGAUGGACCCGCGUCUGAUUAGCUUGUUGGCGGGGUAACGGCCCACCAAGGCGACGAUCAGUAGCCGGACUGAGAGGUUGACCGGCCACAUUGGGACUGAGAUACGGCCCAGACUCCUACGGGAGGCAGCAG
rnacentral:rRNA from 1 species